AAAAAUUUAAGUUAAAUAAACUAUUGACCUUCAAAGUCAAAAAUAGAAAAAUUUUCUAAUUUUUA
rnacentral:tRNA from 1 species